GGCCGAGAUAGCUCAGU
rnacentral:tRNA from 2 species